GACGAACGCUGGCGGCGUGCUUAACACAUGCAAGUCGAACGGAAAGGCCCUGCUUUUGUGGGGUGCUCGAGUGGCGAACGGGUGAGUAACACGUGAGUAACCUGCCCUUGACUUUGGGAUAACUUCAGGAAACUGGGGCUAAUACCGGAUAGGAGCUCCUGCUGCAUGGUGGGGGUUGGAAAGUUUCGGCGGUUGGGGAUGGACUCGCGGCUUAUCAGCUUGUUGGUGGGGUAGUGGCUUACCAAGGCUUUGACGGGUAGCCGGCCUGAGAGGGUGACCGGCCACAUUGGGACUGAGAUACGGCCCAGACUCCUACGGGAGGCAGCAGUGGGGAAUAUUGCACAAUGGGCGGAAGCCGGAUGCAGCAACGCCGCGUGCGGGAUGACGGCUUUCGGGUUGUAAACCGCUUUCGCCUGUGACGAAGCGUGAGCGACGGUAAUGGGUAAAGAAGCACCGGCUAACUACGUG
rnacentral:rRNA from 1 species